rnacentral:rRNA from 1 species
AAAAAGCGGAGGAAAAGAAACUAACAAGGAUUCCCCUAGUAACUGCGAGUGAAGCGGGAAAAGCUCAAAUUUAAAAUCUGGUGGUCUUUGGCCAUCCGAGUUGUAAUCUAGAGAAGUGUUAUCCGCGCUGGACCGUGUACAAGUCCCCUGGAAUGGGGCGUCAUAGAGGGUGAGAAUCCCGUCUUUGACACGGACUACCAGGGCUUUGUGAUGCACUCUCAAAGAGUCGAGUUGUUUGGGAAUGCAGCUCAAAAUGGGUGGUAAAUUCCAUCUAAAGCUAAAUAUUGGCGAGAGACCGAUAGCGAACAAGUACCGUGAGGGAAAGAUGAAAAGAACUUUGGAAAGAGAGUUAAACAGUACGUGAAAUUGUUGAAAGGGAAACGCUUGAAGUCAGUCGCGUCUGCCAGGGAUCAACCUUACUUUUGUGAGGCGUACUUCCUGGUUGAUGGGUCAGCAUCAGUUUUGGUCGCUGGAUAAAGGUCAGAGAAAUGUGGCACCUUCGGGUGUGUUAUAGUCUUUGAUCAGAUACAGUGGCUGGGACUGAGGAACUCAGCGCCGCAAGGCUGUCUUAGGAUGCUGGCAAAAUGGCUUUAAUCGACCCGUCUUGAAACACGGACAA